GUAGGGAAUAUUGGGCAAUGGACGAGAGUCUGACCCAGCCAUGCCGCGUGCAGGAAGACGGCGUUAUGCGUUGUAAACUGCUUUUAUCUGGGAAGAAAAAGUCCAUGCGUGGAAAAUUGCCGGUACCAGAUGAAUAAGCACCGGCUAACUCCGUGCCAGCAGCCGCGGUAAUACGGAGGGUGCAAGCGUUGUCCGGAUUUAUUGGGUUUAAAGGGUGCGUAGGCGGCUCUUUAAGUCAGUGGUGAAAGACCCCGGCUCAACCGGGGCAGUGCCAUUGAUACUGGGGAGCUUGAGUGUUGGAGGGGUACAUGGAAUUGAUGGUGUAGCGGUGAAAUGCAUAGAUACCAUCAGGAACACCGAUAGCGAAGGCAUUGUACUGGCCAACAACUGACGCUGAGGCACGAAAGCAUGGGUAGCGAACAGGAUUAGAUACCCGAGUAGUCC
rnacentral:rRNA from 1 species